AUUUGCUUGGACCAAACAAUAUUAGUUCUAAGGUUAUAGUUACAAUAGUAUAACUGAGAUUAUAGUUACAAACUAGUUCAAAGAAUAAAAAAAAAUUAAAGAUAGAUACAAAUAGUAGUUUCAAGAAUCAAAAAAAUUUAAAGAUAGAUAUAGAUACUAGUUCUAAGAAUCAAAAAAAAUUAAAAUAGAAACAUAUACUAGUUCUAAGUAUCAAAAGAUUAAAUUGAAAAUUUGUGAGUUAUCAAUAAUUAUCGGUGGUAUGAACAAAAAUAGAGAAAAGGAAAAAAACUAAAUUCAUUUGUAUAUAGUAUGAUUUUGACUUUGAAUUUGACUGUUUUAUUUGUGCAACUAUGGAGAACUGUUUUUUUGUUUGUGUAUUACUAGUAUGACUUUCUGAAUUUGAAUUUGGAAAUCAAAAUGUUCGAAAUUGGAAGUCAGAAUAAGAAAUAUAAUCUUUAGUAGUCGAAAAAAUGUUAUAUUCAACAAAAAAAAUGUUAUACUCUACAAUCAAAAGAACAACCCAUCACACUACAUACACUUUCAUAGUCAUUUUGUUAAAUAUGUAAUUACUAAUCAUUUCGCUUUAAAACUUGUAUAGACACUUUUAUUACGUAAAUCACCAAUAAUCAUAUUUUGGAAUCUUAUAUUUUAUUGUACAACUAAAGAAGUAGAAUAUAAUUACAUAUAAUACUAAAAUAAUUGAAAAUCACCGAAAGUACAACUAUUUUGAUAUUUUGUACAACUACUAUCCUGGGGAGAACUAAUUGUAUAUAUUAGGCGGGUAUUUAAAAAUAAUUCAAAAUUUUGGCGGACUUUCUAAAAUUUCAUGAGUCAAGGCGGGAUUUUCGAGGGGAAAAAAUAGAUUCUCAUUUCCCACUUACCACUGUCAAGUCCUCUCUCUUGUCUCCCUCUCUCUCUCAUCUUUACUCUCUAUUCUAUCAUCUCGUCUCUCUCCCUCUCAUUCAUCACACAUUUCUCAUCUCUCUAUUACCUUUCUCUCUCAUCUAUCUCUCGCAAAUUCCUCAAUUUCUCUCAAUUCCGAACAGGAAAUUGAUCCAUGGGUUGAGAAACAGGAAAGGAAAGAGAUGAUGAAGAUGAAGAAACACUGCGACAUGCUUCAGUUUAUUUGAGAUGCUGAGCACGGGAAUCCAUCUUCGUGCCCAUCUGAGGGACGAAUCGUCGACAAGUUUUUUACUAAUCCAACAGAUAAGGAUUUUCUACCAGGCCGAAGGUACUUCACUUGCAACGCGUACAAGAAUGAUGGGCUCCACUUCCGUCAACCAUGGGUUCUCGGAGUUCAGGAAGAGGUUCGCUCCUUCAGGUAGGAGGUGGACGAAAUGGCUGCAGAGAUUGCUCAGCUUAAGGAGCUUUUUACCCGUAAAUGAGAAGCCGUAUGUUGUUUGGAUGUGUGUCUUUUGUUUAUGCAUUAAGCCUUAUGUUGUUUGGAUGUUUGUCUUUUGUUUCUGCAAUAAGCCUUAUGUUGUUUUGUUUGGAUGUGAUGUUGUAUUAAGAGUUGCGGAAUUGUGUUAAGACUUCUAGAAUUAAUGUGAUGUUGUGUUAAGACUAAUUAAUGUGAUGUUGUGUUAAGACUAC